rnacentral:lncRNA from 1 species
UAUUAAGAGGUGUGUUUUGGUCCCAUAUCAGAAGGUGGCAGUGACAACAGGCUUUCCUGAGUUGGUGCCUUGAGAAAAGGGAAGUCUCCUGAAUCAAUUUUUCACAAUAGUCUUCAAUCAAGACACUCUUAAGUUUUGACCCGUCUUGCUUCUCAAGCCAAAUGAUAUCCAUGGUAUCCAGGAUUUGACAUGCAUUAAAAAGAAAGAUAAACUUGGAACUAAAGAGUCUCAGUUUCUGCAGACCUGAAGCCUAAAGCUUUUGCUAUGACACAUGUUACAGUUCCUGUCAUGCUGAUACUAAGUCUUUUCCCGUGUAAGAUACUGUUUUCCACUAGCCUGGCAAGCAGACAACCAAGUGUAGUGGAUGCUCUUGGGCUACACAAUGAUCUGCGCAUUGCUAAGCAUGAGUCUAGCGUUAUUCUGUUCUGGAAAAAUAACCUGACAGAAGAAGAAACAGACAUGUACGAUGUGAAGUAUAUUUUGAGUUACAAAUUCUUCAAUUCUGCUCAUGAAAGGAAAGUAAGUUGUUCAGUGGUUACACAUAGUUUAAAAUGAAAUCAUA